rnacentral:lncRNA from 1 species
GAGGGCUGGGAGCGCUACCCGUGCCGAACGGACCUUGCUUGUCAGGUCCACACCCUCCUGCCCGAAUGCUGGCAAGUCCACACACCGUGUGGCAUCCUCUGCCGGGUUUGUCUCCCCUUAGGAAUGCGGUGCUGAUGUUUGUGGCUGGGACGCGCUUCUGGUCAGCAACUUUUCUGGAAAUUUCAGCCUAUAUUGAUAAGCUGUGAGAUUGCUAGCUGGCGUUUAUUUCAGCAGCAUUCUUGCAAGGAGAAAUAACCAAAAGAGUUGCUGGUGUUUGCCAGUAUUCCCAGAAACACUGCAUGAACGGGAUCUUUAGCCAUGUUUAACUUGUUUUCUCCAAUUCAGUGCUUGGCAUUUUGGUGUCAUUUUUGCCAUUUUGCAUCAUUAGUAUUGAAUAUAUAAUUUUGCUUGAAGUCUUUUAAUCAGUAAAUCCAUAGUAUGACAGUAGGCAAAUUCAUAGUUGUCUUUCAACAAAUGUUAGUGUCUCGUCUUGUAUGUGGACAAAGAAUAAAGAUUUAUUUCCUACUCGAACUAUUAGGAAUAUGUCCAGUCCGUAGAUGUUGAGUUGAACGACUUAUAACACAAGUUAGACUUUGGUAAGGGCAUUUAGAGCAUUACUAAUUUAGAGCCAUUGCCAUUCACAUAAAAUUCGAGAUUGAGGUUCUAAAAGCAUUUAGUUUCCUCUUCGUUUUAUGCUGAGAAAAACUAGUUAAGGCCCCCUGCACAACUUGUCUUUCCAACACAUUUAAGAAAUAAGUUAGUAAAUCUACCUUAUAUUAACACCAAUUACAUUUUAUUGCACAAUUUCUUUGUUUUCUAGGCUUUAGAUUUGUUUUUUAAGCUGGUUAAAGGUGCUGAUGUUCUUUUUGAGGGUCAUGCUGUGUUUAUUUUUAAGGGGCUAGAAAAAUAACCUAUAAAAUACCAAGCUUUUGCUGAUUUUUAUGUUGUGUGUGUGUGUUUUUUUAAGGGGGAAGAAAGUGAUUUCCUCUUUUAAGGAGUGCAAUAUUUCACUUCAGCAAAACGCUAAAUCUAAGUUGUGUUACACAGCCCUGUUUUUGCUUCCAAGUCUGCUGAAAAGGCUUUUGUUUUUGUAAACUUGCUCUAUGUAUCACUUGUUAAAUAAUGCUGAACUUAAUCCUGUGAUCCUAUUAGUUUUCUUUUUCUUUUUUUUCUUCCUUUCUUUCCUUGUUCUUUAUAAUUUGCCCUUCCUUUCUGCUAGUGUAGCCAUGAGUAUUUUUCUUUAGGUAGCCAAUUACCUGUGAAAAGACUGUAAACAUACUGCUGAAUCAGUGCAGAUCAAAACUUGGCACCCUUAGACAUGGCGGGGAUGGAAAUUCUGGAAUUUCACACAACAGGUUGUGUAUUGUGUAAGCUUACCUUAUGCACUGCUCAGGAGUUAGAGAUUUUUUUUUUUAAUGUGAUACUUGUCAGACAUUCCCCAUGCUAAAGUCCACACAGGAAUAAUGUAGCCCAUAUGCCAUUAUCCUCAGCUGAUAUAAAUGCAGCCGUUUUGCAUGAUAGACUUUUUUAGUAAAGGUAUUAAUUAAAUAUCUCUGAUUAUACUUUUUCUACCUUUGUUGGAUUUUCCACAUAAAUAUUUAUGCUUGCACAAAGAAAAUUCUUUGUCAGACCGUAUGUGUUUUCCUAGUUCUCCUCUGGACUUACAAAACAGUUUGUUGAUAGCAUUCAUAACUUAGCUGUUUCUGAGACCCCACCCUCCCCUUUUUGAGUUUCUUAAAGGUAUGGAAUGUUAUAUUUCAGCCUUUCUGUUUCAUCAGAGUCUGGAACCACUAAGUGUUUAUUAAAUACUAGACGAAUAAUAUUUGUUAAUUGUUCAGUAAGUACUGAUUACCUACUAGCAGGGUGUGGUGGCACAUGCUCGUAAUCCUAGCUUCUCUGUGGCUGAGACACAGGAAUCGCUUGAACCCAGGAGGAGGGGUUUGUAGUGAGGCAAGAUCU